rnacentral:rRNA from 1 species
UGAGGAAGUAAAAGUCGUAACAAGGUCUCCGUUGGUGAACCAGCGGAGGGAUCAUUACUGAGUUUACGCUCUACAACCCUUUGUGAACAUACCUACAACUGUUGCUUCGGCGGGUAGGGUCUCCGCGACCCUCCCGGCCUCCCGCCUCCGGGCGGGUCGGCGCCCGCCGGAGGAUAACCAAACUCUGAUUUAACGACGUUUCUUCUGAGUGGUACAAGCAAAUAAUCAAAACUUUUAACAACGGAUCUCUUGGUUCUGGCAUCGAUGAAGAACGCAGCGAAAUGCGAUAAGUAAUGUGAAUUGCAGAAUUCAGUGAAUCAUCGAAUCUUUGAACGCACAUUGCGCCCGCCAGCAUUCUGGCGGGCAUGCCUGUUCGAGCGUCAUUUCAACCCUCAAGCUCUGCUUGGUGUUGGGGCCCUACAGCCGAUGUAGGCCCUCAAAGGUAGUGGCGGACCCUCCCGGAGCCUCCUUUGCGUAGUAACUUUACGUCUCGCACUGGGAUCCGGAGGGACUCUUGCCGUAAAACCCCCCAAUUUUCCAAAGGUUGACCUCGGAUCAGGUAGGAAUACCCGCUGAACUUAAGCAUAUCA